rnacentral:rRNA from 1 species
UACGUAGGGGGCAAGCGUUGUCCGGAUUUAUUGGGCGUAAAGGGCGCGUAGGCGGUUUCUUAAGUUUGGAGUGACAGUGGGUGGCUUAACUACCCAAGGCCUCUGAAAACUGGGGAACUUGAGGACUAGAGAGGGACAUAGAAUUCCGGGUGGAGUGGUGAAAUGCGUAGAUAUCCGGAGGAAUACCAAAGGCGAAGGCAGUGUCCUGGAGGGUGACUGACGCUGAGGCGCGAAAGCUAGGGGAGCGAACAGG